AUGCAGCCUAGUUCCAUUGCAAGGCCUCAACAUUCUCAUUUGAGUGUUUCCCAGAUCAGGUUACACCAUUAUUGUUAGAAGAUACAAAUAGAGAGAUUGGCGUAUAAACGCCGAGUCACUACCCCAACAAAUAGUACAAAUGUAAAGCUGCUGUCCUGGUAAAGGUUUAGAAGCACUGUAAUCCAGGCCUAGUUGGCCCCAACAAGGAUGCCAAAGAAAUGAUUUUAACAUGGAUCUAAGGUUUUGGAAAAUUGUACGCAAUUUUUGCUUGGUAAAAAUUUCAAUCGAGGAUAGGAGAUGAAAGUAGAUGAGAGAACCAGUGACAGAAGGAUAGCCUAAUAACUACUCACUCUCAGAUUCAAAUUUAAAAUCCUACCUCCCUAAGGUCUCAGAGAACAGAGGGAGAGAGUGGGCUUGUGGGGUUGAAGGGACUCUAGGCAUAUUAUCGAGGGAUAUUGUGCUUCAGUAUCAUGCAUGGUUUAAUCUUUUGGUGAAGAAAGGGAAAGUAAAUAAAGGAGAAAAGGGGAUUAUAAACACAAACAUCCAAUCCACUGGCUGUUAGACUGUUCAGUAAGAGCAAAAAGCCAGCUUCCACACCAUUCUUCUUCAGCUUUAUAGUGGGAAUGGCAUCAGAACUUUAGGGCCUAGCAGCAAGUAUAUAGUUUCAAAUGAAAAACAGUGUUUUUAAACAAAAACGGCCAUCCAAUUGUCUGCAACAAGAUCAAAUUCACUCGGUAAGCAUGGAACAUUUCCAAGAUAUCUCGUGUGUGACAUGGUAGGAAAAUAUGUUCUGCAUUUAAGGACAACUUUCAACUCGUUUAAGGAACUAAGGAAAUCAUCUGCAACAGCCACGCGGUCCAAAGCCCAACGUAAAAUUUUCAUAAUGUUGAAGCUCGAAGACAGGAAGAAGAUAAAUAUAAUAAUAAGGGCACGUCAUGGAAUGUCAAACAAGUCCUUUGUGCCAAGCACUUCCUUUCCACCCUCCCACUUGCAAUUAAAGCAAAGGAAAGAAUGGCUAUUCUUUUGGCCUGUCAGUUUGUUACACACCAUGCUACUAUAAAGCAAUAAGAAAAUACAAG
rnacentral:misc_RNA from 1 species